GUCAGUAAAGGCUCUUUUCCACAUCUCAUGUCUCAGCUGCCACAACACAAACCCUUCAAAGGAGACGCAUUCCCAGUUUCAUGCUCCAAGUGAGACAGAUGCUCCCGAAAGCCACUACACCACCUCAGAACUACCGAAAUAUUUUGCCUGUGGAUGUAGAACUUUUGGAUACAAAAUGCUGAUUAUAUGCUGAGAAAGGAUAAAGAAGGAAAAGUCUUAAAUAGAAGAAAACAUAAGAAGAUGGAAACUGUAGAAGACAGAGGACCACUGUAUGCCCUGAAGACAUCACUAAAGAGGCACAAGAAGCACAGUUUUGAACACUCAGGAAGAAAUACCUGACAAUCAAUGGACACAGAAAAAUGUUACUAAGUAAAACUUGUGGUGACUCUUUUGCUGGGCAGUGGGGCACGGUGGUUAAAAAUUUGGGACUUGGGAGCCAUUUCUAAAAAGAAAAAUAAAUAAA